rnacentral:misc_RNA from 1 species
AAUAGCUCUCAAUAGUAAGUUCUCUGGAAAAACUUCUGCUUCAUUGCAUAGAUAAAAUACUCAACAAAACAAGUCAUACAUUUCUGAUAAUAACAAACAUUUUCCUGGGAACAGUCUGCUCUCCAUUAGCAUCACAGAGAUACACAUAUACUAACACCACUUCAAGCUCUUCUAUUAAUUACUUGACCUAGAAUUGCUACUUGAAUGACCCACAAGAUGCAAACUUUAAGCAUCCCAAUUUGAAAAGCUUUCUGAGGUCUGCCCUAGCAAAUGCACAUUUCAGCUCUCAUUACCCCACUCAAUACUCAAGCAUGAGUAUACUGUUUUUUAUUUUUAUUUUUAUUGCAUAUAUAAAUCACCCCAGAAACUUGAAGAGUCAAAAAAAAAAAAAAACACACAAACUAUCUUGGCUAUUGGAGGUGUAAUCUAUUUACUCUUUCUGUUUUUAUUUUUUCUUUCCCAUAUCAUAAAAAGAAAUGCAAAAGAGAACAACAUUUAAGGGAACAAUCCUAGUCAAUUUUUGCUUGUAAAUGUAAACCCAAAUCAUAUUAGCGUUUCUAUGUAUGUAAGAAAACCAGAAGCAGGAGGCAGAAAGUAGAGAUCAUUAACUGGCUAAUCAUGUAUUUAGAUUGAAAAGAUAAAAUGUGAGAUGGAGGGAAACCUUAUCUGCCAAUUCAUUUG